CAGUCGCCGCGGUAAUACGUAGGGUGCGAGCGUUAAUCGGAAUUACUGGGCGUAAAGCGUGCGCAGGCGGUUAUGUAAGACAGGUGUGAAAUCCCCGGGCUUAACCUGGGAACUGCGCUUGUGACUGCACAGCUAGAGUAUGGCAGAGGGGGGUGGAAUUCCGCGUGUAGCAGUGAAAUGCGUAGAUAUGCGGAGGAACACCGAUGGCGAAGGCAAUCCCCUGGGCCUGCACUGACGCUCAUGCACGAAAGCGUGGGGAGCAAACAGGAUUAGAUACCCGCGUAGUCCCUGUCUCUUAUAC
rnacentral:rRNA from 1 species